UACGUAGGGUCCGAGCGUUGUCCGGAAUUACUGGGCGUAAAGAGCUCGUAGGUGGUUUGUCGCGUUGUUCGUGAAAACUCACAGCUUAACUGUGGGCGUGCGGGCGAUACGGGCAGACUGGAGUACUGCAGGGGAGACUGGAAUUCCUGGUGUAGCGGUGGAAUGCGCAGAUAUCAGGAGGAACACCGGUGGCGAAGGCGGGUCUCUGGGCCGAAAUUGACGCUGAGGAGCGAAAGCGUGGGGAGCAAACAGG
rnacentral:rRNA from 1 species